GCAUCAGCUUGGAGUGGGAGAAACUAUGAGUCACUUGGUUGUUUUCAGUAAGUGGCAGGGAGUUUAAAAAGAGAACGGAUAGCUACAUUCCAAAUCGCAAAAAAUGUAAAAAAUCAUAUGGGCAUGAAUAACAUUCAGCCACAAAUAUUUAUGAAGCUUCUGCUGUGUGCCAGACAAAAUGGCUGGGUAUUAGGACUAUGACAGUGAAGAUAACACAGCCCUUGCUCUCAAGGAUUUACAGUUGAUGAGAAAGGCAGACAAAUCCAGGAGGCAUUAUAAUCCACCAUGACAGCUGCUGAGCUCUUCUGUGGGAAUUUGCAGCAGUGGCACCCACAUAUGUGGGCAUUUGGAGAAAGUGGGGAAAGCUUCCAGGAGGAAAUGAUGUCUUAACUGGGACAGAAGCAAGAAGAGUCAGCCAGCUUGGAUCUCCUGACCUUGGCCUGGACCUGGAUCUGGGAGGCUGACUCUAUUGACCAUGGGGAAGGAGCUAACAGGAUUGAACCUCAGGACCGUCCUCUGCAAAAUGAGGAAUUUAGGCUAGCACAGUGGUUCUCAAAGUGUGGUCCCCAGACCAGCGACCUCAGCAUCGCCCUGGAACUAGUUAGAAAUGCACAUUCUCUGGUCCCAACCCAGACCUACUGAACCAGUGCCUCUGGGAGUGGAUCCCAGAAAUCUGUGUUUUAACACACGUGCUAUCUAGGAGGUUCUGAUGCAGGCCAAAGUUCGAAAACCGCUGAACUGGAAGAUCUCUAAAAUUCCUCCUAGGAGAUAAACCUUUAAGACUUGCUAUAAGAAUUAAGUGCCAUGAUUAUGGUGCAUAUUAUUUAUGAAACUUGUUCAAUGUGCCCUGCCCUUCCUAUUCAUUAUCUCUACAACCUCCUUCUAAAAUAAGUAUCAAUUAAAAGUAUUUUCCAAAUGAGCAAAAGGAGGCCCGGAGAGGUUAAAUAAUUCAUCAGGAGACACGCAGCUGGAGAUGAACAGGAGGAGGAUUUGAAUGGGAAGCCAUCUCAGUGUGCUCUCUCUACUACCUCCCAUGAGCAAACACAGUGACAAGUGAACUCAAUGAAUAUCAUUUUCCGGUGAUUCUGUGACCUUUGAGUACCUGCAUCCUCCUACCUUAACCAACUUUGCCAGCCUCCUUCACUGCCCUACCUGAUCGACAGUAAUUUCCAGCUCUCUUCCUUCCCCCAUGCUCAGCCCAACACCCAGCCCUGGCUUUCUCACCUUCCUGGGACCCCCUGCGUUCCACGGUAGUGAACAGAGACACACGACAGCCAUUCCGUGGAUCUACAGUGACUGUUCUCCUGGACACAGAGCCAACGUGGCUACUGAAGGAAAGAGGCCAGUCCUAAGUUCAGGAUCUGUGACGGCCUGGAAAAUGUACUCUGUCCCCCCACAACCUCCCGCUACAACCUCCCCCUAAAAGAAAAACUUUCUACAGGUGAUGUUGAGAUUGCCACAGGCUUUGGUCCUCACAGACUGCAAAUACCUAUGGGAGAAAGAAUGCUUCCACAGAGGAGCGCCGAGGGGAAGGAGAGCACCUCACUGGGAUGGGAUGGGAGUGGGGUGACAGCACCGCCCAG
rnacentral:lncRNA from 1 species